CGGCGGCGAGGAGACCCGAUCGGAGUGCAAGAGCUUCGGCCAUAAGAGGAGAUUUGACAUUUUCCGUGCAUAGCGAUCCGUCGUGGGUUUGUGUUGAUGUCGGCGUUGCAAUGAUCCAUGCCAAUCCUGCUCUCCUCGUGGUAACGUUCCAAGAUGCGUCUGAGUUACAAGUCGAGCUAUUGUUAGUGCCAGAUUCGCCGCGGAAUCGGGUUCCUUGAGGUAGAGCUCUGCUUUUUUGUGUUAUCGUACCUUGUGCUUGAAUCCAUUCACGAGCAGAGACUAAUCCUCUAAGCAUGGCUUCCUUAGGGUUGAGAGUCUUAUCUUCGAAGAUCAGUUUAUUUCUCGCCGUCCACAAAGACCAGCAGAUCCAGGGGAGGACGGGGGAUGAUAUACCUGAUGGGGGGAGACAAGAGACCUGUCGAAACUUCACCAACAUACUCUGGAAAUUAUCAUUUGCUUCAAUGGAGGGCCGUGUUGUGAGGGGG
rnacentral:lncRNA from 1 species